UGGGGAAUCUUGCGCAAUGGGCGAAAGCCUGACGCAGCGACGCCGCGUGAGUGAUGAAGGCCUUCGGGUUGUAAAGCUCUGUGGAGGGGGACGAAUAAGGGUUGGUCAAUAUCCAACUUGAUGACGGUACCCUUUUAGCAAGCACCGGCUAACUCUGUGCCAGCAGCCGCGGUAAGACAGAGGGUGCAAACGUUGUUCGGAAUUACUGGGCGUAAAGCGCGUGUAGGCUGCUCGGAAAGUCGGAUGUGAAAGCCCUGGGCUCAACCCAGGAAGUGCAUUCGAAACUCCCGAGCUGGAGUCCCGGAGAGGAAGGCGGAAUUCUCGGUGUAGAGGUGAAAUUCGUAGAUAUCGAGAGGAACAUCGGUGGCGAAGGCGGCCUUCUGGACGGUGACUGACGCUGAGACGCGAAAGCGUGGGGAGCAAACAGGAUUAGAUACCCUGGUAGUCCACGCCGUAAACGAUGGGUGCUAGGUGUCGCGGGCUUUGACUCCUGCGGUGCCGUAGCUAACGCAUUAAGCACCCCGCCUGGGGAGUACGGCCGCAAGGCUAA
rnacentral:rRNA from 1 species